rnacentral:rRNA from 1 species
UACGAAGGGGGCUAGCGUUGCUCGGAAUCACUGGGCGUAAAGGGCGCGUAGGCGGCCAAGUAAGUUGGGGGUGAAAGCCCGUGGCUCAACCACGGAAUUGCCUUCGAUACUGCUUGGCUUGAGACCGGAAGAGGUUGGUGGAACAGCUAGUGUAGAGGUGAAAUUCGUAGAUAUUCGGAAGAACACCAGUGGCGAAGGCGACUCACUGGACAUGUAUUGACGCUGAGGUGCGAAAGCGUGGGGAGCAAACAGG